GUGAGGGAGAGAAAAUUUGGUUAGCUUCAUCAUCUGCUAAUCAUAAUCAAGAAGAGAAAGGCAAGGAAAAUAGGAGGGAUAGCUGGUGCAGACCUUGAGGAAACAAAGCUGGGAAAAUCUGGAAGUAGCCGUGAACCAGGAAACCAACUCGAGACUCGAGAGUAGUCAUUUGAAUCUUUGGAGUUGGAGAUUGAAAAGUGAUUAGAUGGAAUUGGAAAGUUGUUUUGGGAAAUUCCAUCACUAUGUGUAUAUAUUGGAGUCACGUUUUCUUUUGUAUUUUAAGAUGGUUGAAUCUUCUGUUUUGAGUUGAUGUAAUAUUAAGAAUGGAUGUUUAGAACGUGUA